GAUGAACGCUGGCGGCGUGCCUAAUACAUGCAAGUCGAGCGAACAGACGAGGAGCUUGCUCCUCUGACGUUAGCGGCGGACGGGUGAGUAACACGUGGAUAACCUACCUAUAAGACUGGGAUAACUUCGGGAAACCGGAGCUAAUACCGGAUAAUAUAUUGAACCGCAUGGUUCAAUAGUGAAAGACGGUUUUGCUGUCACUUAUAGAUGGAUCCGCGCCGCAUUAGCUAGUUGGUAAGGUAACGGCUUACCAAGGCAACGAUGCGUAGCCGACCUGAGAGGGGGAUCGGCCACACUGGAACGGAGACACGGUCCAGACUCCUACGGGAGGCAGCAGUAGGGAAUCUUCCGCAAGGGGCGAAAGCCUGACGGAGCAACGCGGCGGGAGUGAGGAAGUUCUUCGGAUCGUAAAACUCUUUUAUUAGGAAAGAACAAAUGGGUAAGUAACUAUGCACGUCUGGACGGUACCUAAUCAGAAAGCCACGGCUAACUACGU
rnacentral:rRNA from 1 species